rnacentral:rRNA from 1 species
AGUGAACGCUGGCGGUAGGCCUAACACAUGCAAGUCGAACGGCAGCACAGUAAAAGCUUGCUCUUACGGGUGGCGAGUGGCGGACGGGUGAGGAAUACAUCGGAAUCUACUUUUUCGUGGGGGAUAACGUAGGGACACUUACGCUAAUACCGCAUACUACCUACGGGUGAAAGCAGGGGCUCUUCGGACCUUGCGCGAUUGAAUGAGCCGAUGUCGGAUUAGCUAGUUGGCGGGGUAAAGGCCCACCAAGGCGACGAUCCGUAGCUGGUCUGAGAGGAUGAUCGGCCACACUGGAACGGAAACACGGUCCAAACUCCUACGGGAGGCAGCAGUGGGGAAUAUUGGACAAUGGGCGCAAGCCUGAUCCAGCCAGACCGCGUGGGUGAAGAAGGCCUUCGGGUUGUAAAGCCCUUUUGUUGGGAAAGAAAAGCAGCAGGUUAAUACCCCGCUGUUCUGACGGUACCCAAAGAAUAAGCACCGGCUAACUUCGU